rnacentral:lncRNA from 1 species
UAAGAUUAUUGAUUGGGUCUAUAUAAUAUUUGUGCUUUUUACAUAAAAAGCUUAGAGCGUGUCAGUUAUAAUCAUGUAUGCUACGAUCCAAAUUUAUAAAAAAUAUUUUUAUUUAAAAUAAUAUGUUUUGUUGAUUAGAUAUAACUGACGUAAUACGACUAAGGCUUCAUUUGGUAUUGCAAGGAGAUUGCGUUACGUGUGGCAAAAAACGAUGAGAAGAAAAUGCUCUGUUUGUUUCCGUACGUAAUAUUGCGUUCAGCAUAUUAUGGUUAGUCAGUUACGAUAUAUUUUUUAUAGUUCCAUCGGAGAACGCAGAAGAAUAUCUCUAUAUGCUUUUUCUCAACACUAUUUUAUCUAAUACCGUUAGAUUCAUCUUAAUACCAAACUAAGCCUAAUACACUGAUUACUUUUCCAUUUCCAUCCAA